rnacentral:rRNA from 16 species
UUAAAUUGAAGAGUUUGAUCAUGGCUCAGAUUGAACGCUGGCGGCAGGCCUAACACAUGCAAGUCGAACGGUAACAGGAAGCAGCUUGCUGCUUCGCUGACGAGUGG